UAAGUUAUAGUUUAUUUGAUAGCACCUUACUACAUGGAUAACUGUGGUAAUUCUAGAGCUAAAACAUGCUAAAAAUCCCGACUUCGGAAGGGAUGUGUUUAUUAGAUUAAAAACCAAUGCCCUUCGGGGCUGCUUGGUGAUUCAUAAUAACCUCUCGAAUCGCACGGCCUUGCGCCGGCGAUGGUUCAUUCAAAUUUCUUCCCUAUCAACUUUCGAUGCGAAGGUAUUGUCUUCGCAUGGUUACAACGGGUAACGGAGGGUUAGGGCUCGACCCCGGAGAAGGAGCCUGAGAAACGGCUACUACAUCCAAGGAAGGCAGCAGGCGCGCAAAUUACCCAAUCCCGACACGGGGAGGUAGUGACAAUAAAUACUGAUACAGGGCUCUUUUGGGUCUUGUAAUUGGAAUGAGUACAAUUUAAAUCCCUUAACGAGGAACAAUUGGAGGGCAAGUCUGGUGCCAGCAGCCGCGGUAAUUCCAGCUCCAAUAGCGUAUAUUAAAGUUGUUGUGGUUAAAAAGCUCGUAGUUGAACCUUGGGCCUGGCUGGCCGGUCCCCCUCACCGGGUGCACUGGUCCGGCCGGGCCUUUCCCUCUGUGGAACCGCAUGCCCUUCACUGGGUGUGCCGGGGAAACAGGACUUUUACUUUGAAAAAAUUAGAGUGCUCCAGGCAGGCCUAUGCUCGAAUACAUUAGCAUGGAAUAAUAGAAUAGGACGUGUGGUUCUAUUUUGUUGGUUUCUAGGACCGCCGUAAUGAUUAAUAGGGACAGUCGGGGGCAUCAGUAUUCAAUUGUCAGAGGUGAAAUUCUUGGAUCUAUUGAAGACUAACUACUGCGAAAGCAUUUGCCAAGGAUGUUUUCAUUGAUAAGGAACGAAAGUUAGGGGAUCGAAGACGAUCAGAUACCGUCGUAGUCUUAACUAUAAACUAUGCCGACUAGGGAUCGGACGGUGUUUAUACUUGACCCGU
rnacentral:rRNA from 1 species